CCUACGGGGGGCAGCAGUGAGGAAUAUUGGUCAAUGGGCGAGAGCCUGAACCAGCCAAGUCGCGUGAGGGAGUACUGCCCUAUGGGUUGUAAACCUCUUUUGUCGGGGAGCAAAAGCCGGACGUGUCCGGCUGUGAGAGUACCCGAAGAAAAAGCAUCGGCUAACUCCGUGCCAGCAGCCGCGGUAAUACGGAGGAUGCGAGCGUUAUCCGGAUUUAUUGGGUUUAAAGGGUGCGCAGGCGGAUUUUUAAGUCAGCGGUCAAAUCGUGGGGCUCAACCCCAUCCAGCCGUUGAAACUGGGGAUCUAGAGUGUGCGAGAGGUAUGCGGAAUGCGUGGUGUAGCGGUGAAAUGCAUAGAUAUCAGGAGGAACACCGGUGGCGAAGGCGGCCUGCUGGACUGCAACUGACGUUGAGGCCCGAAAGCGUGGGGAGCAAACAGGAUUAGAUACCCGAGUAGUC
rnacentral:rRNA from 1 species